AAAUGAAUAGACGGGCACCCGCACAAGCGGUGGAGCAUGCUGUUUAAUUCGAAGAUACGCGAAGAACCUUACCUAGGCUUGACAUCCCCGGCGAAGCUAUAGAAAUAUAGUGGAGGUUACCCGGGUGACAGGUGGUGCAUGGUUGUCGUCAGCUCGUGUCGUGAGAUGUUCGGUUAAGUCCGAUAACGAGCGCAACCCUCGUCACUAGUUACUAACAUUAAGUUGAGGACUUUAGUGAGACUGCCGGUGAUAAACCGGAGGAAGGUGGGGAUGACGUCAAAUCAUCAUGCCCCUUAUGUCUAGGGCUACAGGCGUGCUACAAUGGCCAUUACAAUGAGAUGCGAUAUCGUAAGAUGGAGCAAAUCUUUAAAGAUGGUCCCAGUUCGGAUUGGAGUCUGCAACUCGACUCCAUGAAGUUGGAAUCGCUAGUAAUCCUAAAUCAGAAUGUUAGGGUGAAUACGUUCCCGGGUGUUGUACACACCGCCCGU
rnacentral:rRNA from 1 species